rnacentral:rRNA from 1 species
UCCGCCCGAGAACUACGAGCACAAACGCUUAAAACUCUAAGGACUUGGCGGUGCCCCAAAUCCACCUAGAGGAGCCUGUUCUGUAAUCGAUAAUCCACGAUAUACCCGACCCCUUCUUGCCCACAGCAGCCUACAUACCGCCGGUCACAGUUAACCUCCCCUGAGAGCCCCAGCAGUGAGCACAACAGCACUCCCCCUAAUAAGACAGGUCAAGGUAUAGCUUAUGGAGGGGAACAAAUGGGCUACAUUUUCUAAAAUAGAAAACCCACGGAAAGAAGCCUGAAAGAGCUUCCAGAAGGAGGAUUUAGCAGUAA